GACCGGGUUGUGGGCGGAGGUAGUGGCUGAUUGGUGGGGUGUGGAGGUCACGUGGGCCUGGUGGGCGGAGGAAGUAGGGAGAGCCUCAGUUGACCGUGUAGUGGGCUGGGUCCUGCUGGGCUGGCUUAGGGCGGGGGCUGGGGCCGGGGUUAGGGCGGGAGGAUAGUCUCUGGGAGGAGCGUGGGUGCAAGGUGGAUCGCUAACGUCCUAGAACUGGUUCCUAUGUUUUUCUAGGGCAUGUGGACUAGGGAUGGGUUCUUGAGCAGAAGCGAGGAAGUUGAAAGAGGAGUUUGUGCAGGAGUCACCUGAAGGGUCAGAAGUUAGGGUCCUGUAUGCUUAACAAAAAUAUUCAAAUCAUAUGUACAACACCCCAACUCUAGGAUUCAGGGGUGGAGAUGUUAAUCCACAAAAUUUCCUUAAACUGCAGAAGCUCCGGGGCCUCCUGAAUCCCUGAUAUUCUCUGAGGGAACCAGGACUUCUGAGUCUUAAAGUUUAUUUACCGUACCAUAAAAUGACAAUUCCUUUAAUGUAGUGCGAUAUUUUGGUAAAUGGUGUUGAAUAGAAGAUAGGAUGAUAGAAUCCUAUAUUUAACCUAACAAUCAUUUUUACCACUACGAAGAGUACUGUAAGUUUUGGAAAGACAAAAUUAUUGUCUUUAAUGCAAUUUGCUGCAAAUUUGGAUCCCCCCAUCCCCACGCGAUUGUAGUCCAAAAGUCUAGUUUGAUUCAGCAGUCUUGAAUUUUACUGUUUAAAUUGCCACUUUCCCAAAUGAUGUUAUAUUUUGGAUUUCUGAUGCUGCAAACAAAUCUAAUCAAAACACGAGCUUAAGAAAUGAGGAUGUUGCUUGAAGCAAUGCCUGUGUAAACACUGAAGCUAAAAAUAGGUCAUCACUAACUGGAUUAAUAAGGAAUUGAGCCCAUAAUCCAGGCAACAUGCCCUGACCAGGAAUCGAACCCACAACCUUCUAGUGCUUGGGACGAUGCUCAAUCAAAUGAGCUACACAGGCUGGGCUUACCUGUUGGCUAUUAUUAGCAUGGAUAAUUAAAGCCAAGAUUAUACUAUCUUCCUUUAUUCAAUAUGUUACAUUUCU